CCCAGACACCGCCGCGCCGUGGCUGGUGAGCACCUCGCAGAGCUGAGUUUGCGAACCACUGUGCCCGCUGUGCCCCAAGGGAGAGCCACGCUGCUCCCCAUGGCCGCUGCGUCCACGCUUUACGGGAAGAAUGCACGAUUCUAGGCCAGGUUUAUUUUCGUGAAUCAGCUGAGUGCGUAUCAUAGCGGUUCAACUUCAGACUCCAGGCGACUGCACGGACAUCGUGAUGAUGUCACAAGCGAGAUGGUAUGCAAUCCGGGGACUCCCCGUGCAGACAGAUGAGAAGAUCUUAGACGGUGAACUAACUGUAGGAAAAUCCUGAAACCUAACCGCUCUGCGGGAAACACCAUGUCUGAGACUU